rnacentral:rRNA from 1 species
UAUUGGACAAUGGGCGCAAGCCUGAUCCAGCAAUACCGCGUGUGUGAAGAAGGCCUUAGGGUUGUAAAGCACUCUCAAUUGGGAGGAAAACCUGCCGGUCAAUACCCGGUAGCUUGACAUUACCUUUAGAAGAAGCACCGGCUAACUCCGUGCCAGCAGCCGCGGUAAUACGGAGGGUGCGAGCGUUAAUCGGAAUUACUGGGCGUAAAGCGUGCGUAGGCGGUUCGUUAAGUCAGAUGUGAAAGCCCUGGGCUCAACCUGGGAACUGCAUUUGAAACUGGCGGACUAGAGUUUAGUAGAGGGGAGUGGAAUUUCAGGUGUAGCGGUGAAAUGCGUAGAUAUCUGAAGGAACACCAGUGGCGAAGGCGACUCCCUGGACUAGAACUGACGCUGAGUACGAAA